AGUGAACGCUGGCGGUAGGCCUAACACAUGCAAGUCGAACGGCAGCACAGUAAGAGCUUGCUCUUACGGGUGGCGAGUGGCGGACGGGUGAGGAAUACAUCGGAAUCUACUUUUUCGUGGGGGAUAACGUAGGGAAACUUACGCUAAUACCGCAUACGACCUACGGGUGAAAGCAGGGGAUCUUCGGACCUUGCGCGAUUGAAUGAGCCGAUGUCAGAUUAGCUAGUUGGCGGGGUAAAGGCCCACCAAGGCGACGAUCCGUAGCUGGUCUGAGAGGAUGAUCAGCCACACUGGAACUGAGACACGGUCCAGACUCCUACGGGAGGCAGCAGUGGGGAAUAUUGGACAAAGGGCGCAAGCCUGAUCCAGCUAUACCGCGUGGGUGAAGAAGGCCUUCGGGUUGUAAAGCCCUUUUGUUGGGAAAGAAAAGCAGCAGGUUAAUACCCCGCUGUUCUGACGGUACCCAAAGAAUAAGCACCGGCUAACUUCGUG
rnacentral:rRNA from 1 species